rnacentral:tRNA from 1 species
GGUUAGCGCGCCGCCCUGUCACGGCGGAGGUCGCCGGUUCGAGCCCGGUCGGGGUCGCCA